rnacentral:rRNA from 1 species
UACGUAGGGUGCAAGCGUUGUCCGGAAUUAUUGGGCGUAAAGAGCUCGUAGGCGGUUUGUCGCGUCUGCUGUGAAAACUCGGGGCUUAACCCCGGGCCUGCAGUGGGUACGGGCAGACUAGAGUGCGGUAGGGGAGAGUGGAAUUCCUGGUGUAGCGGUGAAAUGCGCAGAUAUCAGGAGGAACACCGGUGGCGAAGGCGGGUCUCUGGACCGUAACUGACGCUGAGGAGCGAAAGCGUGGGGAGCGAACAGG